rnacentral:misc_RNA from 1 species
UGAAACGAUCUAUAUAGAGCUUAUCAACUAACCUUCCAGAGAAAGGGUAGUAGAGAUUGAGGGUCUCUGACAAAGAUUUCUUGAGUUUGAUUAACUUUUGGGUAAUAUUUCUGGGGUUGGCAUCAAUGGUGGUGUAGAAUAAGAUAAGUGGAGAAUAAGUUGUGGGAGUAAGCUGAUUGAAAAGUAAGAGCUUAUAGGGUUCUUGAUGAUGAAUAAUUGGUGAUGAUGGCUUUAUGACUUCUCUUGAAAUGAUAGCCACUUCCAUGAUGUUCAGGAAGUUUCAAGAUAUAUUGCAAGAGAGAGAGAUAUUAGUUGCAUUUUCCAAGCUUAAUCGGAAGUGUUCUUAUAUAAAGACUGGAAGAGGAGAUUCGCCCAUUCUGAGGCAGUUGGGAGUUAGCAGGUGCUAUAAAACAACAAAUGAAUGCAUAAAUACAGUAUGGGCUCAUGAUUACAUAAUGUAAUAGGCAAUAUGCCCAUAAGCCUAUAUAUGGUUGUGUGCCAGAGUGUGUAUGUUGAUG